AGUGAACGCUGGCGGUAGGCCUAACACAUGCAAGUCGAACGGCAGCACAGUAAGAGCUUGCUCUUACGGGUGGCGAGUGGCGGACGGGUGAGGAAUACAUCGGAAUCUACUUUUUCGUGGGGGAUAACGUAGGGAAACUUACGCUAAUACCGCAUACGACCUACGGGUGAAAGCAGGGGAUCUUCGGACCUUGCGUGAUUGAAUGAGCCGAUGUCGGAUUAGCUAGUUGGCGGGAUAAAGGCCCACCAAGGCGACGAUCCGUAGCUGGUCUGAGAGGAUGAUCAGCCACACUGGAACUGAGACACGGUCCAGACUCCUACGGGAGGCAGCAGUGGGGAAUAUUGGACAAUGGGCGCAAGCCUGAUCCAGCCAUACCGCGUGGGUGAAGAAGGCCUUCGGGUUGUAAAGCCCUUUUGUUGGGAAAGAAAAGCAGCAGGUUAAUACCCCGCUGUUCUGACGGUACCCAAAGAAUAAGCACCGGCUAACUUCGUG
rnacentral:rRNA from 1 species